ensembl:lncRNA
GUCAUUAUCAGACCCAAAAGGUGGUGAUUCCAGACUCUCAGGCCGACUUCCGAGUCGUGGAGAGCAAUUGUCUUCUCCCCUCUGUAACGUCUCAAAAAGACGUUGAUAAGUAACGAAGCGCUCCCUUUUAGACAUGAUGACAGUCAGAGCAAAUAUCUCCAAAUCGGCUUUUUACGGCGGGUACAUGUUAUCCCAGGGGACUUGUAAGCGUUCAUGGGUGGAGGGAAAAGACCCCCCACCCACAUGCUGACUGACAUUGGAUGAGAACAGGAAAUGGUUCCAUAUUUCCCUGUGAUUGGAUUCCGGCCUUGUCCCCAGCCGGCAUCUGCAAACAAGUCCUUCAUUGUUGGUGUUACUCGUGGUCAUCCCUCAGGAUUUAGCGCCUGCCGAAGCCGAAGCGUCCUACCUGACUCGUUUUUGUCUGCGUGGCUAAGUGGGAUACAUCGGCAGAGGCACUGGUGUCGGCGUGGGUGUUGGAAGAAUUACAAACAAGAGACAAAGGUUUCCUUCUCACUGAAACAGGUUCUUGAGACCAGAAGGGAAAAUUGACCAAACAUGAAUUUUCCUGAGGUUGGACAGAGUGUGUUCACUCACGGGUAUGUGCGCUUCACUUAAAGCGUGUCUUUGCAGCAUCACAAAACACUGGAGAAGUCCAGUCAGAAAUUUUAACUUGAUAUCAAUGACAAAUUAAGAAAUGAAAAUGAAAAGUAGACUUGUCGGAGUGUCAGUCACACAGAUAUCUGAGACGUCUAUUUGUCCACCCGACCCAAACAGAAAGCCCCCGACCCGCAAACACAGUUUAUUC